AAGGGUGAAAUCGAUUGUGUUUAAAUCAUUAAUAGACUAAAUUUGAAGCUAAUUUUUUUUGGAGUUGAAUUAGGAUUAGAUACCCUAUUACACCAAAAGGUAAAUAUAAUAUAACUUAAUUAUUUAUAGAUAUGUUCUUAAAACUUGAAGAAUUUGGCGGUGGUUUAGUCUUGUCAGAGGAAUUUGUUUUUUAAUCGAUAAACCACGUAAAAUCUUGCUCAAGCUUAUAUACCAUCAUUAGCAGAUAAUCUUAGUAGAAAGGUAAUUAUUAAAUAUUGUAGAUAAUUAAAAUUAGAUCAAGGUGUAGCUAAUAAAUGAGUUAAAAUGAAUUACAAUAAAUUUUAUUUAUACGGAUUAAUUAGUAAUGAAGGUGGAUUUGAUUGUAUAAAAGUUUAAUAAGCUUUAAAGAUAUAAGUUCUAAAUCAUGUACAUAUCGCCCGUCGCUUUC
rnacentral:rRNA from 1 species